rnacentral:rRNA from 1 species
CAGCAGCCGCGGGAAAACCAGCACCUCGAGUGGUCAAGAGGUUUAUUGGGCCUAAAGCAUCCGUAGCCGGUUGCAUAAGUUUUCGGUUAAAUCUAUGCGCUUAACGUAUAGGCCGCCGAAAAUACUGUGCAGCUAGGGGGUGGGAGAGGUACACGGUACUCGAUAGGAAGGGGUAAAAUCCUUUGAUCUAUUGAUGACCACCUGUGGCGAAGGCGGUGUACCAGAACACGUUCGACGGUGAGGGAUGAAAGCUGGGGGAGCAAACCGGAUUAGAUACCCGCGUAGUCCCUGUCUCUUAUAC